rnacentral:misc_RNA from 1 species
UCAUAACAGUAGGAAUCCUAAAUAGAUGGGAAAUUAACAGAAGCAUUAUUCAAUGAACUGACAAAGAUAAUAUGUCAUCAUGUAAGGUCUAAUGAACCAAAAAUGCAAUGCUGAUAUGGAAAUGAAAUUUAGUAGAUUGAGUACUUCUCGCCAGCAUCCGGCCAAAGCUUCCUGUAGAUGCCAAUUGCAGUUGGAAUAAUAGCAGUAAGUGCAAGAGAGAGAUGGUCUGAACUGCUUGUCCUCACGGUUACUUGCCCACUGAGCUUGUUAUUGAUUCCUGCUCGAACAGCUACCUUCGAAUUGCGUCCCACAGCGAAUUGCGCCAUACUGUUGAAACCUAGAGCCAAAUCACCUCUCCACUUUAUGACGGACAUAGACAAUGUAGAUUGCACCUGACCGAUUGGGAAAUCUGCCUCCCUCCUCUGCAGUUCAAAGUUAGCCCCAUAAGCUGUGUCACUCUGAGAUCGAACAGUGCCAGCACUGCCAACUAGAACGUAUUGCUUGCCUAAGAUGAUUUGAUCUUCAACUUUAAGUCCAGUGACCAUAUUUUCACCUAGAAAUGUAACAGAAAUUCCGCAAGCAGUCUUGUUCUUCUUCAAGCUUUUGAAUUUGGUUUCUCCUCGGACAAUAUAGGCAAGUUGCUUCCCUAUGCUUUGAAUAUCAAAGCCAGCCAUGGUUGAUCCAUUUUCUCCGUGCUUAGCAGCAAUCGAAGAGUCCAAAUUGAUACUGAAAUCCUUCUUAUCUUUGGUGAUUUGCACAGUAACUGCAGCAGGGAAACGACUGGCAAUGGCUAAACUUUGUUCCACGUUAACACCAUCAUAGCCACAAUCAUGAUCCCAACCAUGCGUGUCCAGAACAGGCCUUGCAAGGAACUGUGAUGUGGGCUCCAAGAAGCGGUACCUAUAGGCGGGAUUAUCACUAUCAAAAGAAGGUGGAAGGGCCAUGUCAGGAAGGGGAACUGCUACGGGAGCUGCUGCACCUGCAUCAGCUUCUUCCUCUGCAUAACCAUUGUCAAUUGCAGCCUCUUUUCCCUUACUUUUCAUCUCUUUCAUUCUUCUUAAAUCUUCUCUCAACUGUUUCUUCUGAAGGAGCUUGACCCUGUAGUCAUACUCCUCAAAGUACGCCUUCCUCUGUUCUUUGCUGAGCUUAGCAAGCUGAGCCUUCCGAAGAGGCUUGAAGGGAGGAAGCUGGUCAUACUCAUCUUCUUCUUCUUGGUCAGAGUCUGACAAAUCAUCUAAGUCAAUGUCUGAAUCACCGUUGUCACCACCCUGCUCAGCAGAAAGCUUUGGAUGCGCACGUGACUGCAACAUUGAAGAAAGCAUGUAGGGAAGAGGUGGUGAGCGUGUGCGGAAACCAAAGAGCUUACGGUGAUCAAAUGGAUCUUCAGGCUUUGAAAGUGCACUUGCUUCAGAUAAGAUCUUCAUUGAGUAGCUUAAUAGUAGUAAUUGAGGCCUCCAGCUCUGGCCAUUAGGUAGUAUCUUAUGUCCAUCCCUAUUCCUCCUGCAAGAUGGAUGAUUUUCUAUCAGAGAGACGGGAUUCAUCAGACUUGGACUCAUCAUUCGUAAAUCGCCUACUGCUUGCCCG